GGGUUGAGUAUGAGUGGCUAAUGUAGCUAGACAUCUCUCUCUCGCCCAUAUAUUUUUUCAAUAAAGACGUUUAUUAUUAUUAUAUUCAGGGUAGAAAACACCUCUGCAGAGAGACAUUAUGAUGACAAUGAGUCAUAUAAAAAAUUUAAAUAAAACCUUAAAAAAUAUUUACUGGAGAGGGCACCAUUCUUUAAAUAACUAGACUUCGCCCAUAUAUAAUUUUCAAUAAAGACGUUUAUUAUUAUUAUUAUUAUAUUCAAGGUGGAAAACAGCUCUGCAGAGAAACAUGAUGAUGCAGAGAGACAUCAUGAUGACUGCAGAUUAACACGAUCACCCCUUUUUUGUCCCAACCGACAAGACUCACUGGUUUAUUUAUACACACCAAGGUAUUACCGGUUUUGCGAUUUUACGCAUCGGGCAGCUACCAGGAAAUUACUGUAUCAAACAGUUUUGUGGCCAUUAGGUAAUCAUCAAUUAGCCGAGCGAUAAUGAGGUCACAAAAGCACUAAACCGGCCUGAAUUUGAUAAUAUUAUUAUAAAGUCUCCUCAAACCAUUAAUGAGCUGCAAACUAUUCGAACCAGAUAAUAUAUGAACGUGAAAUCGAAAUGCCCAGAAAUAUUUUUUAUGGUGAUUUAUUAAAAAUCGUUUUAAAAACAGUUUUCUUCUUCUGAUCUACAGGCCUUUAGAUUUCAUUAAAAGUACGAGUUUCCUGGAAUAAUUGGCUGCAUUGAUAGUACUCAUGUGAGCAUUGUGGCCCGAGAGACGACUAAUGAUGAGCAUGUCUAUAUAAAUAGGAAGAUUUUUUAUUUACUUAAUGUACAGCUCGUAAGUUUAUUAGAAAGGAAAUUUUGAACAGUACCUUUCGCAUGAAUAUAUUCCUUUUCAGAUUUGUGAUGAUAUUCUUAAAAUGUUAAAUGUCAACUCAAGAUUCCUCCCCCCUAUAUUUUACAUUCUAUAACACUGUCAAAAUUAACUAACUAACGUUUUAACGACUAACUAGUGAUAAUUCAUUCAAAUAUAAGGUAUUUUAUGUAUAUUGUAACAAAUUAUAUAAAUAAUUUAACAACAACUCACCAAGAAAAAA